rnacentral:lncRNA from 1 species
UUCUUCUUUCCGAUAUGAACAAGGUUUAUUCUUCAAUUGGUAUUGUCUGCAGCUACUUCUUCGGACAUAUAUAAUCGUACGGUGUUUUUGGCAAUCUAACACGUUCAUUUUCCUUCAGUCGAGCUAGAGCGUGGAUGCUAGAACGAUGUCGCUGUUCUCUACGCUGUUCUCCAUAGCAAGGAUAUCGAAUUGAUGUGAAAAUCACAGUUUCGAUUUUAUAGCAAGAUGUGUGGAUCUGUUUAGAUGUAUCUCUAUAUUCAGAUUUUUAUGUAAUGAGCCGGUUGAGGUGUAGUACAUAUAGAAGUGAAUACGUAAACUCACCACUCUUGAUUCCAUGAAAGCUAAAGAAGCCUAGAUUGCCUCAUCCUCUCCCCCUCAUCUGAUUGCUUUAUGCUAUAUUAUUACCUACUCAGUUUCGAGAUUUUGAAUGAGCUUGUAAGAUAACAGUUUUCAAAAGAUCGAAGUAGAUGUUGCAAGUCUCUGUUUGCUUCACCUUUAAAUAUACUUUCCAGAUUGUUUGAUGUUAUUUCUUUUUUGAUAAUUGCAGAGGAGUUUAUCGUGAUGGCCUUAGAAAGCAAAGAUCUGAUUUAGAGAAUUGUCAGGAUGAAAGGAGGUGCGUGCAAUCAAAGAGCAGUUGUAAAAUUUGGUGAAGCUUUUAGUGUAUGCCCUACCUCUGCAAAUCACAAGAUAACAUGUGACGUGAGUUAUUAUGUUUGAGAUUUUUUAGCGAAAGAAUGUAAAAGGUGUAAGAAGCAAUCUGCAGUUCACGAGAUAGUGAUAAUGGGGUAUUUGCAGGGUGAAGCUGCAUAUGUGGAUUCAGUUCUCGGAACCAGUUGUUUGAACCCCAUCAGAUUUGCAAUCGGCGAAAGUAGUAAGGCAUUUAGUGGAAAAGAAAGAAGAAUUAAGCUGCUGCUAUGAUCGUCCGCGGUCUGUAAUUGAGCAGGGAAAUUCUUGAGGGAGCAUUUCGAGAAUUGUACACAAGUUGUCACAGUCUCACAUUUGUUAUGGUCAAAAUGCGAUGUUCAAAAAGUCUCUUAAGAAGUCAACUAUUGAACAAUUUCUAGCCCGUACUAAUACUUCCUCAUUUGGCGCCGUGAUGUAUGCACAUAUGAUGUUUUAAAUUAGUGGGGGCAAAUUGUUGAAAUUCGAAGGUUGUUGAAACCAUAAAUAUAAGCUAAUACUUUCCCUAGGUUAGUGUCUUGGAACAACACUUUCCGAAUAAAUAAUAUUACAAGUUAAUGACGGGAAUUAGGGAUGCGGAGGCAAUGGUUGCCGUCGGACAUAUUUUGUUGGCGACUCGAGGAGCAAUUAUCC